rnacentral:rRNA from 1 species
CCAAUCUACUUGCUUGAGGGUUCUGGUGCUUACUCUGUUAGAUUCUUUUACAACACCAUCAACUGGGGAGGGGUGUCUACCCCCAUAUGGAAACACUUUUGGUCAACUACAGUUCCUCGUCGGUACCUAGUCUUUAUCUGGUUGGCUUACUAUAACAAAAUUCUUACACGAGACAAUUUAAGUAAACGUUAGCCGGUAAAUGAUCCUUCAUGUUUAUUUUGUAGUGAAAUGGAAUCAGUUCAGCAUUUGUUUUUCGAUUGUGUUGUGGCGCAAGAGAUAUGGGAAGUAGGCGCGAAAGCUUUUGACUUCUAA